rnacentral:rRNA from 1 species
AUGAAAAUCCUCAGUUGGAACUGUCGAGGGAUAGGGCAACCUCGUACAGUUCAAGAGCUUGUGUGUCUAUCUAAGACGCACCGUCCUAAUGUUAUCUUUCUUUCCGAAACUAGGAAAAAUAAAGAGUAUGUUGAGCUUUUGUGUUACCGGUUGGGUAUGAAUAAUGUGUUUACUGUUUCUGGCCGUGGUAAAGGUGGAGGCCUAGCUGUGUUUUGGGAUGAA